AAUGAUGAGACAGCACAAGACUAUAAGAUUGCCAACAAAAUGAAAGCUGCAUUUAAAAGAAAAUACCAAGGGUCCUACUUAAAUCACGGGUUCAUUGCAACAGAUGAUUCACAUUCUCCAAGCAUGCUUUGUAUAAUACGUGGCAACUGGCUAUCCAACGAAGCCAUGAAAACUUCAAAACUUCAAAACUGCUUUGCCACAUGGAGACCAGGCACCCUGCAUUAAAAGACAAGCCUUUGGAGUUUUUCAAAAGAAAAUACAUGAACACAAAGAACAGAAGCAAUUAUCGAAGGCCACCACUUCAUCCAAUGUGUCUGCUGGAGCAUGACUCUCAGUGGCUAACCGCAGCGCUAAGCUAAGAAGCCCUUUGCUCUGGGUGAAGAGCUGAUCCUGCUGCUGCUGAGGGCGUCUGGCUUUUCAGAGGCUGCAGUUCGAAAGGCGGCACAUGCUCCUCUUUCGGCUAGCACCAUAACUAGACUACCUGAUGAGGAGAGGACAGCAGAGGACACUGAGGCACAACUCUUAGCGAGGAUUAGUGAGCCACCACGGUACUCAAUCCAGGGUGACGAGUCUAUGGAUGUUGACAAUAAGGCAACAAUGCUUGUUUGUCUGUGAUAUAUUCUUUUAAGACAAUGUGCAUGACGAUAUGUUAUGCACACUUUUGUUGCCAACCAACACCACAGCUGCAGAACGAUUCGAGUCUUUGAAUGAUGGCAAAUCAGGAAAACUGAAUUGGUCAUUUUGUGUCGGUACAUGCAUGGACAGAGCGGCUGCCACGACUGGGCGGCUUUCUGGUUUCACUACUCGGGUCACGGAGGCUGCUUCUGAACGUGAGUCUACGCACCGUGCCACCCACGGAAAAAUGCUGGCUAGCCGAAAGAUGUCACCUGAACUAAACAACAUCGUGCAGGAUGUGAUUCAAAUUCGCAACCACAUUAAGUGCAUGCCCUUAACUCACAUCUGUUCACGCAGCUCUGUGAGGAGAUGGACGCAGAGCACACGUGUCUUCUCUUACACACAGAAGUGAGACGGCUUCCUAAAGGGAGAACAUUGGCCAGAGUUUCUGAUUACAAGAGCUGCUCCAAAGAUUGCUCGUAGACAAUCACCACUGGUAGCACCUUUCAGUGACACAGUAUGAGUCACAAAACUUGCUUCUCUGUGACACAUAUUCAACCUGUUCAAUGAACUCCAUCUGUCACCUCAAGGGAGAAUGACAACUGGGUUCAAGUCAGCAGAUAAAAGUGACUGCAUUCAAAGCCAAACUGGGAUUAUGGAGGCAACAAGUGAACACCGGCAUUUUGGACAUGUUCCAAACAUUAGUAGAGAUUUUGAAAAAGACUGAGCCAGGACGUUACUUCUCCCAGCUGGUGCACGAUCACCUAUCUCAGCUUCCAAGAGUUUGAGCAUUACUUCCCAACCACAAAAGACCCCUGAACUGGGAAGGAAUGGGUCUGUGAUCCAUUUCUGAACAAGCCAGGUGAAUCGACUUUGUCUGUGCUAGAAGAGGAUCAAAACUGCUUGACAUCGCAAAUGACGGUGGCCUUAAAAGUAUGUCUGAGACACCUUCAAAUCUCCCUACAUUCCGGAUUACAGUCAGGCAGAAUAUCCUGAGAUUGUCACAAAAGCACUGAGAAGCUGCUUCCGUUUCCAACAUUCUAUCUUUGUGAAGCAGGGUUUCUGCCGUGGCAGCAGCCAAAUGAGAUUACGGAGUAGACUGGACAUAAGCAACACGCUUCCGGUGUCACUGUCUCCCAUCAACCCCAGAUGGCACCAUCUAGUUGCAGGAAAACAAGCUCAGGCUCCCACUAAUUCUGCAUCAUGGAUGGACAUUACAGGAUGGACAGAUCUUCCUUGUUGCCCUAGCACAGCAAGUAGCCACACAGCCUACACUGAGCUAUUUAGAUGAUCUCCCACAGGACUCUGAGGAAGGAGGAAAUGAGACAGAAAUGGGAGGAAAGAUAGAUCAUUCAUUUUGACAUAGCAAGCUGACUUGACCAUUGCUGCUGGAAGAUCACUGUUGUGGUUCCCUUUCUAGAAAUUUCUUGGUACCUCUUUCUAAGCCAGUUCUAGCCAUAUUCAGUGAACUCCUUCACAGCC